rnacentral:rRNA from 1 species
AGGAUGAACGCUGGCGGCGUGCUUAACACAUGCAAGUCGAACGGUGAAGCCCAGCUUGCUGGGUGGAUCAGUGGCGAACGGGUGAGUAACACGUGAGCAACCUGCCCCUGACUCUGGGAUAAGCGCUGGAAACGGCGUCUAAUACUGGAUACGAGUAGCGACCGCAUGGUCAGUUACUGGAAAGAUUUAUUGGUUGGGGAUGGGCUCGCGGCCUAUCAGCUUGUUGGUGAGGUAAUGGCUCACCAAGGCGUCGACGGGUAGCCGGCCUGAGAGGGUGACCGGCCACACUGGGACUGAGACACGGCCCAGACUCCUACGGGAGGCAGCAGUGGGGAAUAUUGCACAAUGGGCGCAAGCCUGAUGCAGCAACGCCGCGUGAGGGAUGACGGCCUUCGGGUUGUAAACCUCUUUUAGCAGGGAAGAAGCGAAAGUGACGGUACCUGCAGAAAAAGCGCCGGCUAACUACGUGCCAGCAGCCGCGGUAAUACGUAGGGCGCAAGCGUUAUCCGGAAUUAUUGGGCGUAAAGAGCUCGUAGGCGGUUUGUCGCGUCUGCUGUGAAAUCCGGAGGCUCAACCUCCGGCCUGCAGUGGGUACGGGCAGACUAGAGUGCGGUAGGGGAGAUUGGAAUUCCUGGUGUAGCGGUGGAAUGCGCAGAUAUCAGGAGGAACACCGAUGGCGAAGGCAGAUCUCUGGGCCGUAACUGACGCUGAGGAGCGAAAGGGUGGGGAGCAAACAGGCUUAGAUACCCUGGUAGUCCACCCCGUAAACGUUGGGAACU